CCAUAGCCCUGAUGGGAACGGCAUCCUUUUGCAAAAAGCGUUGGGAUUAAAGUUGAGGUUUUGCAAAAGAUACAGUGGACAGCAGGUUCCCGG
rnacentral:sRNA from 1 species